rnacentral:rRNA from 1 species
CAAUAGCGUAUACUAAUGUUGUUGCAGUUAAAAGCUCGUAGUUGAAAUAACUUGUCAAAUUAAUUUGGCAAUCUACUUUUUAUUAAGUGUAUUAUUGUGAAUAAAUUAGAGUGUUUCAAGCAAACUUUGUUUGAAUAGAUCAGCAUGGAAUAAUGAAAUAUGAUUUGAUUCUUUUUGGUUAAGGGUUAAAUAAUGAUUAAUAGAAGCAGUUGGGGGCAUUCGUAUUUAAUAGUCAGAGGUAAAAUUCUUGGAUUUAUUAAAGACGAACUAAAGCGAAAGCAUUUGUCAAGGAUGUUUUCAUUAAUCAAGAACGAAAGUUAGGGGAUCAAAGAUGAUCAGAUACCA